rnacentral:rRNA from 1 species
UACGUAGGCAGCGAGCGUUGUUCGGAAUUACUGGGCGUAAAGAGUGUGUAGGCGGUGCUCUAAGUUCGGUGUGAAAUCUCCCGGCUUAACUGGGAGGGUGCGCCGGAAACUGGAGUGCUCGAGCGUGGGAGAGGAAAGCGGAAUUCCUGGUGUAGCGGUGAAAUGCGUAGAUAUCAGGAGGAACACCUGUGGUGUAGACGGCUUUCUGGACCAUUGCUGACGCUGAGACGCGAAAGCGUGGGGAGCGAACAGG